GAUCCUGGCUCAGAUUGAACGCUGGCGGAACGCUUUACACAUGCAAGUCGAACGGUAACGCGGAGAGAAGCUUGCUUCUCUCCGGCGACGAGUGGCGAACGGGUGAGUAAUACAUCGGAACGUGUCCGCUCGUGGGGGACAACCAGCCGAAAGGUUGGCUAAUACCGCAUGAGUUCUACGGAAGAAAGAGGUCGGGACCCGCGAACGGGCCUCUCGCGAGCGGAGGCCGGCCGAUGACUGUAUUACGGCCGGGUUUGGGUGGAACGGG
rnacentral:rRNA from 1 species